AGUGAACGCUGGCGGUAGGCCUAAUACAUGCAAGUCGAACGGCAGCACAGUAAGAGCUUGCUCUUACGGGUGGCGAGUGGCGGAUGGGUGAGGAAUACAUCGGAAUCUACUUUUUCGUGGGGGAUAACGUAGGGAAACUUACGCUAAUACCGCAUAUGACCUACGGGUGAAAGCAGGGGAUCUUCGGACCUUGCGUGAUUGAAUGAGCCGAUGUCGGAUUAGCUAGUUGGCGGGGUAAAGGCCCACCAAGGCGACGAUCCGUAGCUGGUCUGAGAGGAUGAUCAGCCACACUGGAACUGAGACACGGUCCAGACUCCUACGGGAGGCAGCAGUGGGGAAUAUUGGACAAUGGGCGCAAGCCUGAUCCAGCCAUACCGCGUGAGUGAAGAAGGCCUUCGGGUUGUAAAGCCCUUUUAUUAGGAAAGAAAAGCAGCAGAUUAAAACCCCGCUGUUCUGACGGUACCCAAAGAAUAAGCACCGGCUAACUUCGUG
rnacentral:rRNA from 1 species